rnacentral:rRNA from 1 species
UACGUAGGGUGCAAGCGUUAAUCGGAAUCACUGGCGUAAAGCGCACGUAGGCGGACUCUUAAGUCGGUGGUGAAAUCCUGGAGCUCAACUCCAGAACUGCCUCGAUACUGAGAGUCUCGAGUCCGGGAGAGGUGAGUGGAACUGCGAGUGUAGAGGUGAAAUUCGUAGAUAUUCGCAAAAACACCAGUGGCGAAGGCGGCU